rnacentral:tRNA from 2 species
GGAAAGAUGGCCGAGCGGUUCAAGGCGUAGCAUUGGAACUGCUAUGUAGGCUUUUGUUUACCGAGGUUAAUCCCUUUCCUGAGCGUAGCGAAGGGAAGGGUUCGAAUCCCUCUCUUUCCG